rnacentral:rRNA from 1 species
CAGUAGUCAUAUGCUUGUCUCAAAGAUUAAGCCAUGCAUGUCUAAGUACAAGCCGAUUUAAGGCGAAACCGCGAAUGGCUCAUUAAAUCAGCUAUGAUUCAUUGGAUCUGUACCCACACUUACUUGGAUAACUGUGGUAAUUCUAGAGCUAAUACAUGCACCACGUCUCUGACCGGAAGGGAAGAGCGCUUUUAUUAGUUCAAAACCGGUCGGGCCUCGGUCCGUCACCCCACCGUGUUGAAUCUGAAUAACUUGUCGCUGAGCGCACGGUCUCCGCACCGGCGCCGCCUCUUUCAAGUGUCUGCCUUAUCAGCUUUCGAUUGUAGGUUAUACGCCUACAAUGGCUAUAACGGGUAACGGGGAAUCAGGGUUCGAUUCCGGAGAGGGAGCCUGAGAAACGGCUACCACAUCUAAGGAAGGCAGCAGGCACGCAAAUUACCCACUCCCGGCACGGGGAGGUAGUGACGAAAAAUAACGAUGCGAGACUCAUCCGAGGCCUCGCAAUCGGAAUGAGUACACUUUAAAUCCUUUAACGAGGAUCUAUUGGAGGGCAAGUCUGGUGCCAGCAGCCGCGGUAAUUCCAGCUCCAAUAGCGUAUAUUAAAGUUGUUGCGGUUAAAAAGCUCGUAGUUGGAUUUCAGUUCAGGACUGACGGUUCACCGCCCGGUGCAUACUGUCACGCUCCGAACAGCCACAACAGCCCGCUGGCUCGCACGGGGUGCUCUUCAUCGAGUGUCCCGCGUGGCCGGCAGAGUUUACUUUGAAAAAAUUAGAGUGCUCAAAGCAGGCUACACUGACGGCCUGAAUGCCUAUGCAUGGAAUAAUGGAAUAGGACCUCGGUUCUAUUUUGUCGGUUUUCUGAACCCGAGGUAAUGACUAAUAGGAACAGGCGGGGGCAUUCGUAUUGCGACGCUAGAGGUGAAAUUCUUGGACCGUCGCAAGACGAACUACUGCGAAAGCAUUUGCCAAGGAUGUUUUCAUUAAUCAAGAACGAAAGUUAGAGGUUCGAAGGCGAUCAGAUACCGCCCUAGUUCUAACCAUAAACGAUGCUGACCAGCGAUCCGCCGGCGUUAUUCCCAUGACCCGGCGGGCAGCUUCCGGGAAACCAAAGUCUUUGGGUUCCGGGGGAAGUAUGGUUGCAAAGCUGAAACUUAAAGGAAUUGACGGAAGGGCACCACCAGGAGUGGAGCCUGCGGCUUAAUUUGACUCAACACGGGGAACCUCACCAGGCCCAGACACCGGAAGGAUUGACAGAUUGAGAGCUCUUUCUCGAUUCGGUGGGUGGUGGUGCAUGGCCGUUCUUAGUUGGUGGAGCGAUUUGUCUGGUUAAUUCCGAUAACGAACGAGACUCUGGCCUACUAACUAGUCGACGGAUCUCCAGCAAUUGGUGUCCAGUUCGCAGCUUCUUCUUAGAGGGAUAAGCGGCAAUUCUAGCCGCACGAGAUUGAGCAAUAACAGGUCUGUGAUGCCCUUAGAUGUUCUGGGCCGCACGCGCGCUACACUGAAGGGAUCAACGUGUCCUCCCCCUCCGAGAGGAGCGGGUAACCCGUUGAAAUCCUUUCAUGAUAGGGAUUGGGGUUUGCAAUUGUCUCCCAUGAACGAGGAAUUCCCAGUAAGCGCAAGUCAUGAGCUUGCGUUGAUUACGUCCCUGCCCUUUGUACACACCGCCCGUCGCUACUACCGAUUGAAUGAUUUAGUGAGGCCUUCGGACUGGCGCUCUUGGAUGCC